CAAUUAAGAUCACCGCAAAUUUAGUAAAUUACAGAUAUAUUUCUGUAAAGUUUAAUUUUUAUAAAUUAUUUAUACAAAAGUUUUAAUAUUUUUAGAUAUAUCCCUGCCGUUAGAAUCCGUUAGAAAAGUUUAGUUAACCAUCGAUUAAAUACUUUAUCCGGAUUAAUUUUUGACAUUUUUAUCCCUCUUAUAUUCUAUUGCUAUAAUUUUUGGAGGGACAUAUCUGUAAUGGCAAAAUUGAAAAUAUAAAUAGUUUUCUAACGGUAACAAACCAGACCAUAGGGAUAUAUCUGAAAAUAUUAGAAUUUUUGGAGGAAUAACUAAUGAAAGUUGAACUUUACAGUAAUAUAUUUGCAAUUCACUAUAUUUGCAUGAACCUGUAUGCAAUUAACUUUUUUUUUAUUAAUAUAUUUGUUGUGUUCUUUUAAGCUAUUUAAGUCAAUUGAGCUGAAAAUUUUGUGACAAUGAGUAACCUGCAAUUCCGCCAAAUUUUAUGGCUAUAAUUAUCCUUCGGUUCAAGUAAGUAUGAACUUCGCUAAUGAUUAAUGACCAAUUAAUAGCUAAUAGAGCUACCAUUAUACGUAAAAAUUUUAAUUAAAUUAACUAAACUGCAACAAAAGUUGACAGAAUGUUAGCAUAUAAAAAAAAAUGAAAUGAGGGGGUCUCCAUGUAUCCAUUUUCUGUAACACCUUCAAAAUAUAAAAUUAUUUUAUAUAAAAUAUAAUGUGACUAAAUUUUUUGACUUCUUAAAAAGCGGAGCUUCUAAUUUUUAUCUUUUCUUUUCAUCCAUAUAUAUAUAUAUAUAUAUAGGUUAGAACUACUAUACUCUUAUGAGUAUAAAUUUUUUUCUAUUUAUAAAUUUUCAAUCGUUGGAUAAAGAGAUGUGCGGUUAGAAUGAUAAUAGUCUCCGAUUAGAAUGGUAAUGAUUUUCUAGGAUUAAGUGGGUAGUUAAUUAAAUAGUAUGAUCUAACGAGUAAAGAUGGUCCCAGGGAUCGAUCUAACGGUCGAAAUCUUAUAUUAGCCGAACUCUCUGAAUUGACUAGCAAAGUAUAUAUAUUUAGUAUCAGUAAAAAAUGUAACGGGCAUAGACUAUGGAGAGGGGAAUUUAAUGGGAGAUGGUUGAAAGGCGUGAAGGCCUAAAUUUGGUCUUCGUCCAACACGGAAGAAAAAACAGUGAGAUCGAGUGGUGGGAGGAGAGCAUGGCAUUGAAAGCUGCUCCAACAACCCACCAGCACAAUAUUUUAAAUUUGUAGAGAGAGAGAGAGAGAGAGAGAGAGAGAGAGAUGGCCCAAUAUAAUAUGGCAUAAGCUAGAAAGAGAGAGAGAGAGAGUCCCUCAACUAUAAGUUAUCUUGAAAUAGGCCUUACAACUCUUUUUUUUUGGGUCAAUUAAGAUCACCGCAAAUUUAGUAAAUUACAGAUAUAUUUCUGUAAAGUUUAAUUUUUAUAAAUUAUUUAUACAAAAGUUUUAAUAUUUUUAGAUAUAUCCCUGCCGUUAGAAUCCGUUAGAAAAGUUUAGUUAACCAUCGAUUAAAUACUUUAUCCGGAUUAAUUUUUGACAUUUUUAUCCCUCUUAUAUUAUAUUGCUAUAAUUUUUAGAGGGACAUAUCUGUAAUGGCAAAAUUGAAAAUAUAAAUAGUUUUCUAACGGUAACAAACCAAACCAGAGGGAUAUAUCUGGAAAUAUUAGAAUUUUUUAAGGAAUAACUUAUGAAAGUUGAACUUUACAGUAAUAUAUUUGCAAUUCACUAUAUUUGCAUGAACCUGUAUGCAAUUAACUUUUUUUUUAUUAAUAUAUUUGUUGUGUUCUUU
rnacentral:lncRNA from 1 species